GGAAUAUUGCGCAAUGGGCGGAAGCCUGACGCAGCCAUGCCGCGUGUGUGAAGAAGGCCUUCGGGUUGUAAAGCACUUUCAAUAGGGAGAAAAGGCCCACGGUUAAUAGCCGUGGGAGUUGACGUUACCUAUAGAAGAAGCACCGGCUAACUCCGUGCCAGCAGCCGCGGUAAUACGGAGGGUGCGAGCGUUAAUCGGAAUUACUGGGCGUAAAGCGCGCGUAGGCGGUUUGUUAAGUCAGCUGUGAAAGCCCCGGGCUCAACCUGGGAACUGCAGUUGAUACUGGCAGGCUGGAGUACGAGAGAGGGAGGUAGAAUUCCAUGUGUAGCGGUGAAAUGCGUAGAUAUAUGGAGGAAUACCAGUGGCGAAGGCGGCCUCCUGGCUCGAUACUGACGCUGAGGUGCGAAAGCGUGGGUAGCGAA
rnacentral:rRNA from 1 species